AUUGCCUCAGUAACGGCGAGUGAAGCGGCAAAAGCUCAAAUUUGGAAUCCCCCCGGGGAGUUGUAAUUUGAAGAUUGCGUCUUGGAGGCGACCGUGUCUAUGUUCCUUGGAACAGGACGUCACAGAGGGUGAGAAUCCCGUGCGGCACGGCCCCCGGCUCCUUAUAAGGCGCUCUCGACGAGUCGAGUUGUUUGGGAAUGCAGCUCAAAGUGGGUGGUAAAUUCCAUCUAAAGCUAAAUACGGGCGAGAGACCGAUAGCGAACAAGUACAGUGAUGGAAAGAUGAAAAGCACUUUGAAAAGAGAGUGAAACAGCACGUGAAAUUGUUGAAAGGGAAGGGCAUGCCGUCAGAUUGUCAGUGUGGGUAAGAAGCGGGGUACAAAGACUGUGGAACGUGGCCCUCGGGUGUUAUAGCCGCAGUUCAUGCCCCGUCUCUUUCCGAGGCCUGCUUUGAGGACACCGACGUAAUGACGGUACGCCGCCCGUCUUGAAACACGGACCA
rnacentral:rRNA from 1 species